rnacentral:rRNA from 1 species
GUAGGUGGCAAGCGUUGUCCGGAAAUUAUUGGGCGUAAAGCGCGCGCAGGGCGGUCCUUUAAGUCUGAUGUGAAAGCCCACGGCUCAACCGUGGAGGGUCAUUGGAAACUGGGGGACUUGAGUACAGAAGAGGAAAGCGGAAUUCCAAGUGUAGCGGUGAAAUGCGUAGAGAUUUGGAGGAACACCAGUGGCGAAGGCGGCUUUCUGGUCUGUAACUGACGCUGAGGCGCGAAAGCGUGGGGAGCAAACAGGAUUAGAUACCCUGGUAGUCCACGCCGUAAACGAUGAGUGCUAAGGUUGUUACGGGGGUUUCCGCCCCUUAGUGCUGCAGCUAACGCAUUAAGCACUCCGCCUGGGGAGUACGGCCGCAAGGCUG